rnacentral:rRNA from 1 species
UGAGGAAUAUUGCACAAUGGGCGCAAGCCUGAUGCAGCGACGCCGCGUGUGGGAUGAAGGGGCUACGCCUCGUAAACCACUGUAGCCCGGGACGGAAAACGCCUUAGAGGCGUUAGACGGUACCGGGAAAGUAAGGGUCGGCUAACUACGUGCCAGCAGCCGCGGUAAUACGUAGGACCCAAGCGUUGUCCGGAUUUACUGGGUGUAAAGGGUGCGCAGGCGGAUGGGUAAGUCAGGGGUGAAAGUCUGCAGCUUAACUGUAGAAUUGCCUUUGAUACUGCUCAUCUUGAGUGUGGGAGAGGUUGAUGGAAUUCCAGGUGUGGCAGUGAAGUGCGUAGAUAUCUGGAAGAACACCAGUGGCGAAGGCGGUCAACUGGCCCAUAACUGACGCUCAUGCACGAAAGCGUGG